AAAAAAAAAAAAACAACAGAAUCCAACAGGCGCAUAAUUUAUUUGCGUGUGCUAGCUGUAGACUGCUAACCCUAAAGUCUAGAGUUUGAAUCCGUGUUCAAGUCAGCAGAACGUCCCUGAGUCGACACAGCUCUGAUGGGUACCUAACUCACGUUAGGCAAAGUAAAGACGUCUGGGCAAUGACUACACUAUCCCUUUAUAAGACGAGGUCACAGAAACAGGAGCAUGCGCAGUGUGUCAAGGUUACUCUGUCACGUGGUUCAACUAAUGUAUGUCAGCGGGCGGGAUCUCUACAAUGUGGACUUGUCCUUGCUCCGCAUUCGUUAUUUAGGGCUCCUUUUUAUGUCAGGCCAUUUUUUCCCCUGCUCCUUUUUUUUCCUGUUUAAAUCUGGCUUGUUUAUCGAAAUCGUGACUUGUCCCAAGUCCCGUAACUCGAUUACAAGAUGGAGGCCUUGUUGUCCUUCCUGUCGGUUAAUUGCAUUAAGAUAGCAGUUGACCCGAAGACAAAGCAGGUAAAUAAAUCUCUAGACCACAGAUUUUCAAGAAUGCGGCACAGGUUUUUCAAUGCGUAGAGAAUAUU